rnacentral:rRNA from 1 species
GACGAACGCUGGCGGCGUGCUUAACACAUGCAAGUCGAACGGAAAGGCCCUGCUUUUGUGGGGUGCUCGAGUGGCGAACGGGUGAGUAACACGUGAGUAACCUGCUCUUGACUUUGGGAUAAGUUAAGGAAACUGGGGCUAAUACCGGAUAGGAGCUCCUGCUGCAUGGUGGGGGUUGGAAAGUUUCGGCGGUUGGGGAUGGACUAGCGGCUUAUCAGCUUGUUGGUUGGGUAGUGGCUUACCAAGGCUUUGACGGGUAGCCGGCCUGAGAGGGUGACCGGCCACAUUGGGACUGAGAUACGGCCCAAACUCCAACGGGAGGCAGCAGUGGGGAAUAUUGCACAAUGGGCGGAAGCCUGAUGCAGCAACGCCGCGUGCGGGAUGACGGCCUUCGGGUUGUAAACCGCUUUCGCCUGUGACGAAGCGUGAGUGACGGUAAUGGGUAAAUAAGCACCGGCUAACUACGUG